ACAUUCAAACCCUUUGCAGUUGCAAUCAGCGUCUGAAAAAACAUAAUAGUUACAACUUUCAACAACGGAUCUCUUGGUUCUGGCAUCGAUGAAGAACGCAGCGAAAUGCGAUAAGUAGUGUGAAUUGCAGAAUUCAGUGAAUCAUCGAAUCUUUGAACGCACAUUGCGCCCCUUGGUAUUCCAUGGGGCAUGCCUGUUCGAGCGUCAUUUGUACCUUCAAGCUCUGCUUGGUGUUGGGUGUUUGUCUCGCCUCCGCGUGUAGACUCGCCUUAAAACAAUUGGCAGCCGGCGUAUUGAUUUCGGAGCGCAGUACAUCUCGCGCUUUGCACUCAUAACGACGACGUCCAAAAGUACAUUUUUACACUCUUGACCUCGGAUCAGGUAGGGAUACCCGCUGAACUUAAGCAUA
rnacentral:rRNA from 1 species